rnacentral:rRNA from 1 species
UACGGAGGGUGCAAGCGUUAUCCGGAUUUACUGGGUUUAAAGGGUGCGUAGGUGGGCAGGUAAGUCAGUGGUGAAAUCUCCGGGCUUAACCCGGAAACUGCCAUUGAUACUAUCUGUCUUGAAUAUCCUGGAGGUGAGCGGAAUAUGUCAUGUAGCGGUGAAAUGCUUAGAUAUGACAUAGAACACCGAUUGCGAAGGCAGCUCACUACGGGAUCAUUGACGCUGAGGCACGAAAGCGUGGGGAUCAAACAGG